rnacentral:rRNA from 1 species
UACAGAGGUCCCAAGCGUUGUUCGGAUUCACUGGGCGUAAAGGGUGCGUAGGCGGCUUUGUAAGUCAGUGGUGAAAUACUCCAGCUUAACUGGAGGGGUGCCAUUGAUACUGCGGAGCUUGAGUACAGAUGAGGUAGGCGGAAUUGACGGUGUAGCGGUGAAAUGCAUAGAUAUCGUCAAGAACACCGAUAGCGAAGGCAGCUUACUGGGCUGUAACUGACGCUGAUGCACGAAAGUGUGGGGAUCAAACAGG